rnacentral:rRNA from 1 species
GCGUUAUCCGGAUUCAUUGGGUUUAAAGGGUGCGUAGGCGGCUUUUUAAGUCAGUGGUGAAAUCUUGCCGCUUAACGGUAAAAUUGCCAUUGAUACUGAUAAGCUUGAGUACAAUUGAGGUAAGCGGAAUGUGUAGUGUAGCGGUGAAAUGCUUAGAUAUUACACAGAACACCGAUUGCGAAGGCAGCUUACUAAACUGUCACUGACGCUGAUGCACGAAAGCGUG